GACGAACGCUGGCGGCGUGCUUAACACAUGCAAGUCGAACGGAAAGGCCCUGCUUUUGUGGGGUUCUCGAUUGGCGAACGGGUGAGUAACACGUGAGUAACCUGCCCUUGACUUUGGUAUAACUUCAGGUAACUGUGGCUAAUACCGUAUAUGAUCUCCUGCUGCAUGUUGGUCGUUGGUAAGUUUCGGCGGUUGGAGAUGGACUCGCGGCUUAUCAGCUUGUUGGUGGGGUAGUGGCUUACCAAGGCUUUGACGGGUAGCCUGCCUGAGAGGGUGACCGGCGACAUUGGGACUGAGAUACGGCGCAGACUGCUACGGGAGGCAGCAGUGGGGAAUAUUGCACAAUGGGAGGAAGCCUGAUGCAGAAACGCCGCGUGCGGGAUGACGGCCUUCGGGUUGUAAAAAGCAUUCGCCUGUGACGAAGCGUGAGUGACGGUAAUGGGUAAAGAAGCACCGGCUAACUACGUG
rnacentral:rRNA from 1 species